AUUGAACGCUGGCGGCAGGCCUAACACAUGCAAGUCGAGCGAGCGGCGGACGGGUGAGUAAUGUAUGGGGACUGCCCGAUAGAGGGGGCUAACUACUGGAAACGGUGGCUAAUACCGCAUACUAUCGGAUAACCCAUAUGGGAUUAGCUAGUAGGUGGGGUAAAGGGUCACCUAGGCGGCGAUCUCUAGCUGGUCUGAGAGGAUGAUGAGCAAAACGGGGACGGAGAAACGGCCCAGAAGGGGACGGAGGAAGCAGUGGGGAAUAGGGCAAAAGGGGGGAAAGCCUGAGGGAGCAAGGCGGCGUGAAUGAAGAAGGCGUGAGGGUUGAAAAGAACGGUCAGAGGGGAGGCGUUACCCGAAGAAGAAGCAACGGCUAAAGAAGUGCCAGAAGCCGCGGUAAUAC
rnacentral:rRNA from 1 species